rnacentral:rRNA from 1 species
AUGAACGCUGGCGGCGUGCCUAAUCCCUGCAAGUCGCGCGAACAGACGAGGAGCUUGCUCCUCUGACGUUAGCGGCGGACGGGUGAGUAACACGUGGAUAACCUACCUAUAAGACUGGAUAACUUCGGGAAACCGGAGCUAAUACCGGAUAAUAUAUUGAACCGCAUGGUUCAAUAGUGAAAGACGGUUUUGCUGUCACUUAUAGAUGGAUCCGCGCCGCAUUAGCUAGUUGGUAAGGUAACGGCUUACCAAGGCAACGAUGCGUAGCCGACCUGAGAGGGUGAUCGGCCACACUGGAACUGAGACACGGUCCAGACUCCUACGGGAGGCAGCAGUAGGGAAUCUUCCGCAAUGGGCGAAAGCCUGACGGAGCAACGCCGCGUGAGUGAUGAAGGUCUUCGGAUCGUAAAACUCUGUUAUUAGGGAAGAACAAAUGUGUAAGUAACUAUGCACGUCUUGACGGUACCUAAUCAGAAAGCCACGGCUAACUACGUG